rnacentral:rRNA from 1 species
ACGAACGCUGGCGGCAUGCCUAACACAUGCCAGUCGAACGAGACCUUCGGGUCUAGUGGCGCACGGGUGCGUAACGCGUGGGAACCUGCCCUUAGGUUCGGAAUAACUCCCCGAAAGGGGUGCUAAUACCGGGUAAUGUCUUCGGACCAAAGAUUUAUCGCCUUUGGAUGGGCCCGCGUUGGAUUAGCUAGUUGGUAGGGUAAAAGCCUACCAAGGCGACGAUCCAUAGCUGGUCUGAGAGGAUGAUCAGCCACACUGGGACUGAGACACGGCCCAGACUCCUACGGGAGGCAGCAGUGGGGAAUAUUGGACAAUGGGCGAAAGCCUGAUCCAGCAAUGCCGCGUGAGUGAUGAAGGCCUUAGGGUUGUAAAGCUCUUUUACCCGGGAUGAUAAUGACAGUACCGGGAGAAUAAGCGCCGGCUAACUCCGUG